rnacentral:rRNA from 1 species
UACGUAGGGGGCAAGCGUUGUCCGGAUUUAUUGGGCGUAAAGCGCACGCAGGCGGUGCGGUAAGUUUCGAGUGACAGGUGGUGGCUUAACUGCCACAGGACUCGGAAAACUGCCGCACUUGAGGGCUUGAGAGGGACGCGGAAUUCCAGGUGGAGCGGUGAAAUGCGUAGAUAUCUGGAGGAACACCGGUGGCGAAGGCGGCGUCCUGGACCAACACUGACACUGAUGAGCGAAAGCCAGGGGAGCAAACGGG